AUCCUUUUCUGGUGCGUAAGCAUGAUGAUCGGGGAUUCACAUGUUUGUCUGACAUGUGCCUCCCUUAAAUCUUGUUACACACUUGACACUUCACCCAUCUGGUG
ensembl:snoRNA